GUUUCCAUUCCUUUUUCCUUGAUUACUAGAUAACCUCAUUUUGCAGCUGCUUUGCUUUUUACCAGCUUUUGCGGACGGCUGUUAUUAUUAUUUGCGACUUCCUUCUGUACGUAAUUGCCUGUCAAAUCUGUUACUCUUAUUUCAUGUUUUCUAAGCGCAAUAACCAAAUGAUGAUUACAAGCGCUUAUAAAUCCAGUGGUAGCGAGAAACCUGUACGUUACUGAUAGCUCAUCGAGAAAAACUGCAGAUUGCCUAGUUGUCUUGUGCAUUGACUCGUUCUGAUGAUUGCUAUGCCAUGUCAUUGUUUGUGUAGUUUAACG
rnacentral:sRNA from 1 species